UGACGAGGCACUACGGUGCUGAAGCAACAAAUGCCCUGCUUCCAGGAAAAGCCUCUAAGCAUCAGGUAACAUCAAAUCGUACCCCAAACCGACACAGGUGGUCAGGUAGAGAAUACCAAGGCGCUUGAGAGAACUCGGGUGAAGGAACUAGGCAAAAUGGUGCCGUAACUUCGGGAGAAGGCACGCUGACACGUAGGUGAAGUGAUUUACUCAUGGAGCUGAAGUCAGUCGAAGAUACCAGCUGGCUGCAACUGUUUAUUAAAAACACAGCACUGUGCAAACACGAAAGUGGACGUAUACGGUGUGACGCCUGCCCGGUGCCGGAAGGUUAAUUGAUGGGGUCAGCGCAAGCGAAGCUCCUGAUCGAAGCCCCGGUAAACGGCGGCCGUAACUAUAACGGUCCUAAGGUAGCGAAAUUCCUUGUCGGGUAAGUUCCGACCUGCACGAAUGGCGUAAUGAUGGCCAGGCUGUCUCCACCCGAGACUCAGUGAAAUUGAACUCGCUGUGAAGAUGCAGUGUACCCGCGGCAAGACGGAAAGACCCCGUGAACCUUUACUAUAGCUUGACACUGAACAUUGAGCCUUGAUGUGUAGGAUAGGUGGGAGGCUUUGAAGUGUGGACGCCAGUCUGCAUGGAGCCGGCCUUGAAAUACCACCCUUUAAUGUUUGAUGUUCUAACGUGGACCCGUGAUCCGGGUUGCGGACAGUGUCUGGUGGGUAGUUUGACUGGGGCGGUCUCCUCCUAAAGAGUAACGGAGGAGCACGAAGGUUGGCUAAUCCUGGUCGGACAUCAGGAGGUUAGUGCAAUGGCAUAAGCCAGCUUGACUGCGAGCGUGACGGCGCGAGCAGGUGCGAAAGCAGGUCAUAGUGAUCCGGUGGUUCUGAAUGGAAGGGCCAUCGCUCAACGGAUAAAAGGUACUCCGGGGAUAACAGGCUGAUACCGCCCAAGAGUUCAUAUCGACGGCGGUGUUUGGCACCUCGAUGUCGGCUCAUCACAUCCUGGGGCUGAAGUAGGUCCCAAGGGUAUGGCUGUUCGCCAUUUAAAGUGGUACGCGAGCUGGGUUUAGAACGUCGUGAGACAGUUCGGUCCCUAUCUGCCGUGGGCGCUGGAGAACUGAGGGGGGCUGCUCCUAGUACGAGAGGACCGGAGUGGACGCAUCACUGGUGUUCGGGUUGUCAUGCCAAUGGCACUGCCCGGUAGCUAAAUGCGGAAGAGAUAAGUGCUGAAAGCAUCUAAGCACGAAACUUGCCCCGAGAUGAGUUCUCCCUGAGACUUUAGGUCUCCUGAAGGAACGUUGAAGACGACGACGUUGAUAGGCCGGGUGUGUAAGCGCAGCGAUGCGUUGAGCUAACCGGUACUAAUGAACCGUGAGGCUUAACCUU
rnacentral:rRNA from 1 species